rnacentral:misc_RNA from 1 species
GGAAAUUAAUGCAAUCCAUUUUAUAAUGAAUAGAAACAAAUGACAGGAAAAAGUAGCAAAAAGUUUGAAGGAGUGGCAAAACCAAGAAAGGAAUUAUAACAAGAAUACAAUUUACUUAAAAAGGUAAAUAAUAUGGUCAAAGAAUGUUAAUUUAAGGAACCAAAUCCUAAUUCUCCAACUCCAAUUCUGUCAAGACAGAGUCUCAAGACCUGAUUUCUUUCCCACCUCUCUUUCUUUGCUAGCCAUUAAAAUAUUAGGGACCAAAAUACGCAGGAGGAAAGAGGACAGCAAUUAUAUAUUCGAACAAAUCUAGAGUUGCCAAGGGGGUGGGGCCAUGUGUUUGUACUUCACCUUUUCCUAAUUAUUAUUAUGCUACAAUGCGUGCAUGUGUGUGGUGUUUUAAAAACUGAAAACAAUACAAUUAAUAAUUAUAAGCUCAAACUUUACACUUCAAUCCUCACUUUUUAAAAAUGAAUUAAUGGUUCUCAACUUUUUAAUUUCAUAACUUAAAUUAUCAUAUAUUUUAGUCCCUAAGAAUUUGUUUUGAAUAACAUUUUAGUCCUUGAAUUUUGUAAAACUACUCUUUCAAUUCCUAAAACUAAAAAGUGAGAAACUGAAAUGUUAUUUUUUCUAAAAAAGUGAGACAAAAGUUAUAUUACUUAAAAAGUGAGGAACUAAAAUUUAAUAAA